GAUGAACGCUAGCUACAGGCUUAACACAUGCAAGUCGAGGGGUAGCAGGGUAGCAAUACCGCUGACGACCGGCGCACGGGUGAGUAACACGUAUCCACCCUUCCCAUAACUCGGGGAUAGCCUUUCGAAAGAAAGAUUAAUACCUGAUAGUACUUAAGAAAGGCAUCUUUUUUAAGUUAAAGAUUUAUUGGUUAUGGAUGGGGAUGCGUUCCAUUAGAUAGUUGGUGAGGUAACGGCUCACCAAGUCUUCGAUGGAUAGGGGUUCUGAGAGGAAGGUCCCCCACAUUGGUACUGAGACACGGACCAAACUCCUACGGGAGGCAGCAGUGAGGAAUAUUGGUCAAUGGGCGAGAGCCUGAACCAGCCAAGUAGCGUGAAGGAUGAAGGUCCUAUGGAUUGUAAACUUCUUUUAUAGUAGGAUAAAGUGAACCACGUGUGGUUUUUUGUAUGUAUACUAUGAAUAAGGAUCGGCUAACUCCGUGCCAGCAGCCGCCGUAA
rnacentral:rRNA from 1 species